rnacentral:rRNA from 1 species
GAUGAACGCUGGCGGCGUGCCUAAUACAUGCAAGUCGAGCGAACGGACGAGAAGCUUGCUUCUCUGAUGUUAGCGGCGGACGGGUGAGUAACACGUGGAUAACCUACCUAUAAGACUGGGAUAACUUCGGGAAACCGGAGCUAAUACCGGAUGAUAUUUUGAACCGCAUGGUUCAAAAGUGAAAGACGGUCUUGCUGUCACUUAUAGAUGGAUCCGCGCUGCAUUAGCUAGUCGGUAAGGUAACGGCUUACCAAGGCAACGAUGCAUAGCCGACCUGAGAGGGUGAUCGGCCACACUGGAACUGAGACACGGUCCAGACUCCUACGGGAGGCAGCAGUAGGGAAUCUUCCGCAAAGGGCGAAAGCCUGACGGAGCAACGCCGCGUGAGUGAUGAAGGUCUUCGGAUCGUAAAACUCUGUUAUUAGGGAAGAACAUAUGUGUAAGUAACUGUGCACAUCUUGACGGUACCUAAUCAGAAAGCCACGGCUAACUACGUG